UAUUAUAACAUAUAGAAAUUAAACUUGUGACCUAUUUUGAUAUCACUUGUUGGAUCAUUGAUGUUAAUCAUAAUAAGGUUGACCUAUUUAAAAAUAAUUAUUUAAUUCACUUAAAUUGCCCGGAUUUAACAUCCAUGAGUUUCAAUUGUGAUUUGGCCCACUCCAGUCUCCACUACGUGGACAUGAUGCUGGCUGAUUACCAACAAUACUAUAU
rnacentral:lncRNA from 1 species